CCUACGGGUGGCAGCAGUGAGGAAUAUUGGUCAAUGGACGCAAGUCUGAACCAGCCAAGCCGCGUGCAGGAUGACGGCCCUACGAGUUGUAAACUUCUUUUGUACGGGGGUAAACUCAGACACGUGUACCUGUCUGAAAGUACUUUACGAAUAAGGAUCGGCUAACUCCGUGCCAGCAGCCGCGGUAAUACGGAGGAUUCAAGCGUUAUCCGGAUUUAUUGGGUUUAAAGGGUGCGUAGGUGGGUGGGUAAGUUAGUGGGGAAAUCCCGCGGCUCAACGUCGGAAUUGCAUUUGAUACUGGCCGGCUAGAGAGUAGGUGAGGUAGGCGGAAUGUGUGGUGUAGCGGUGAAAUGCUUAGAGAUCACACAGAACACCGAUUGCGAAGGCAGCUUACCAAGCUACUUCUGACGUUGAGGCACGAAAGCGUGGGGAGCAAACAGGAUUAGAUACCCGGGUAGUC
rnacentral:rRNA from 1 species